rnacentral:rRNA from 1 species
GACGAACGCUGGCGGCGUGCCUAAUACAUGCAAGUCGAGCGGACUUUCAAGAAGCUUGCUUUUAGAAAGUUAGCGGCGGACGGGUGAGUAACACGUGGGCAACCUGCCUGCAAGACGGGGAUAACUCCGGGAAACCGGGGCUAAUACCGGAUAAUAUCUUCCUUCGCAUGAAGGAAGGUUGAAAGGCGGCGCAAGCUGCCGCUUGCAGAUGGGCCCGCGGCGCAUUAGCUAGUUGGUGAGGUAACGGCUCACCAAGGCGACGAUGCGUAGCCGACCUGAGAGGGUGAUCGGCCACACUGGGACUGAGACACGGCCCAGACUCCUACGGGAGGCAGCAGUAGGGAAUCUUCCGCAAUGGACGAAAGUCUGACGGAGCAACGCCGCGUGAGCGAAGAAGGUCUUCGGAUCGUAAAGCUCUGUUGUCAGGGAAGAACAAGUACCGUUCGAACAGGGCGGUACCUUGACGGUACCUGACCAGAAAGCCACGGCUAACUACGUG